rnacentral:rRNA from 1 species
UACGGAGGGUGCGAGCGUUGUCCGGAAUCAUUGGGCGUAAAGGGCGCGUAGGUGGCCCGGUCAGUCAGUGGUGAAAGCGCGGGGCUCAACUCCGCGUCGGCCAGUUGAUACUGCUGGGCUUGAGCACUGUAGAGGCAGGCGGAAUUCCGGGUGUAGCGGUGGAAUGCGUAGAGAUCCGGAAGAACACCGGUGGCGAAGGCGGCCUGACUGGGCUGCACUGACACUGAGA